ACGAACGCUGGCGGCGUGCCUAACACAUGCAAGUCGAACGGGGUAGUUCCUUCGGGGGACUACUUAGUGGCGAACGGGUGAGUAACGCGUGAGAAACCUGCCUUUCAGUGGGGGACAACAGUUGGAAACGACUGCUAAUACCGCAUAAGCGCACAGCAUCGCAUGAUGCAGUGUGAAAAACUCCGGUGGUAUGAGAUGGACCCGCGUUGGAUUAGCUAGUUGGAGGGGGUAACGGCCCACCAAGGCGACGAUCCAUAGCCGACCUGAGAGGGUGACCGGCCACAUUGGGACUGAGACACGGCCCAAACUCCUACGGGAGGCAGCAGUGGGGAAUAUUGCACAAUGGGGGAAACCCUGAUGCAGCGACGCCGCGUGAGUGAAGAAGUAUUUCGGUACGUAAAGCUCUAUCAGCAGGGAAGAAAAUGACGGUACCUGACUAAGAAGCCCCGGCUAACUACGUG
rnacentral:rRNA from 1 species